rnacentral:lncRNA from 1 species
GAACAGCAUAAUAUUGUGGGAGGAGUCAUUUGGUGGGUUUUGAGUGAAAUCCAAUCCCUAGAACUAUACAAUACACCAACCACCCCAUUUCAGAACGAACUUCGUACGAACCUGAAUUGUCCGAUUUCAAGGACCAAUCGGUAUCGGAUUGAGUCCAAAACUGGGGGAACAUCAUAAUAUUGUGGGAGGAGUCAUUUGGUGGGUUUUAAGUGAAAUCCAAUCUCUAGAACUAUACAAUACACCAACCAACACAUUUCAGAACGAACUUCGUACGAACCUGAAUUGUCCGAUUUCAAGGACCAAUCGAUAUCAGAUUGAGUCCAGAACUUGGGGAACAUCGUAAUAUUGUGGGAGGAGUCAUUUGGUGGGUUUUGAGUGAAAUCCAAUCUCUAGAACUAUACAAU